rnacentral:lncRNA from 1 species
CUAGAGUGGAGGUGCUUGCUCAGUGGCCCCCAGGUGCACUGGGUGUGCGCUGAAACGUGUCGCAACUUUUGAGGAGUACAAGUCAUUCUACCUCUGCACGGCCUGGGCUAUUUCCAUUUGCAUUAGGAGGCUAAGCAGAGACCUUACUGAACCUGUCAUGGCCUUGUAAUGCCACCUGCCAAUCCCUGCCCUGUCUUCCUGUGCCUGAGAAGAGUGAGUUCAGAGGGGACUGCCUGUUGCUCUAACUCCAGACAGAAUAAGCACCGUGCAAAAUCGCAAGAACACAGUAAAGAACCCCAGAGGUCAGAACAGUCAUUUACUGCUCUCAAAUUGCUCGUGGUGUUUGUGCUGUCUGGAAAUGAAGCUUGAAAGGACGUGGACUUAGAGCCAAAUACAGAGAACAGAGCUAAAGGAAGUGGCCCUAAGUUGAUCAAGAGCUUGAAGACGAAACCCUUGACCAAGAGGCUGGUGCUGUAGCAUGGGCAGACAGUGGGCUGCUAACCUCAGGAGGACUAAAUAUGGGAAGUGCCAUCUGUCGUAGAAGGUGUAGGGAGUUCUCCUGAUUGGGCUGGCCAAAGAUUCCUUGAAGUUCCGAUGCUGUGAUGGCUUGAUGAAGGUGUAAAUCCAGUCAAUCAAUUCCUGAAUGAACUAUCCUGGAACUUGAAGUGUCUGUGUUCUUGGCCAGGACUGGCUUCAAGAGAGCUGGUGACCAUCUGUGUGAUUGGAAGGUUGCCAGCAUAUGGCCUCUAUUGCUGUGUCAUGCUGCGUGAAAUCCUGCCAGGUGAAAACAUGGCCUAACUCCAGGUAUGUUGGAAGAGCCUUUGGUCACAGCUACCUUGGGUCUCUGGGCUACUUCGCCGUCGCCUGAUCUUUGCUUUCUUGUGCUUGGUUAAAGGUCAAGGAAGAUGUCUCCUCUUAGAAUUAAGGAGCUUCCUAAAUUGCUCAAGUAGGUUUGAAAAGAUUUGGUUGUUUUUCUCUUAAAGCUUGGUCAUAUGUUCUAAAUUCUUAGUUUUGAAUCUAGAUUUCUUACUGUUUUCUCCUGGUUUUUACAGUAUUGGGCUCAGUAGACGCAG